GUAGUCCCAACCUUAAACGGUGUGCAUUUGGUGUAGGGGUGUUGACCCCCCUGUGCCGGAGCGAACGCGUUAAAUGCACCGCCUGGGGAGUACGGUCGCAAGACUAAAACUCAAAGAAAUUGACGGGGGCCCGCACAAGCGGAGGAGCAUGUGGCUUAAUUCGAUGCAACGCGAAGAACCUUACCAGGGCUUGACAUGUAACUGCAUUCCCGCUGAAAGGCGGGAAGCCUUCGAGGGUGUUACACAGGUGCUGCAUGGCUGUCGUCAGUUCGUGCCGUGAGGUGUUGGGUUAAGUCCCGCAACGAACGCAACCCCUAUGUUUAGUUGCCACCCGGCGUAAGUCGGAGCACUCUAGACAGACUGCCCUUAGUGGAGGAAGGUGGGGACGACGUCAAGUCAGUAUGGCCUUUAUGCCCUGGGCCGCACACGUGCUACAAUGGCAGGUACAAUGGGACGCAAGACCGCGAGGUGGAGCAAAUCCAUAAAGCCUGCCCCAGUUCGGAUUGGAGUCUGCAAUUCGACUCCAUGAAGUCGGAUUCGCUAGUAAUGGCGCAUCAGCUACGGCGCCGUGAAUA
rnacentral:rRNA from 1 species